AGUGAACGCUGGCGGUAGGCCUAACACAUGCAAGUCGAACGGCAGCACAGGAGAGCUUGCUCUCUGGGUGGCGAGUGGCGGACGGGUGCGGAAUACAUCGGAAUCUACUUUUUCGUGGGGGAUAACGUAGGGAAACUUACGCUAAUACCGCAUACGACAUACUGGUGAAAGCAGGGGACCUUCGGGCCUUGCGCGAUUGAAUGAGCCGAUGUCGGAUUAGCUAGUUGGCGGGGUAAAGGCCCACCAAGGCGCCGGUCCGUAGCUGGUCUGAGCAGAGGAUGAGCCACACUGGAACUGAGACACGGUCCAGACUCCUAAGGGAGGCAGCAGUGGGGAAUAGUGGACAAUGGGCGCAAGCCUGAUCCAGCCAUACCGCGUGGGUGAAGAAGGCCUUCGGGUUGUAAAGCCCUUUUGUUGGGAAAGAAAUCCAGCUGGCUAAUACCCGGUUGGGAUGACGGUACCCAAAGAAUAAGCACCGGCUAACUUCGUGCCAGCAGCCGCCGCCG
rnacentral:rRNA from 1 species